GUCUAGUGGUAUGAUUCCUGCUUUGGGAGCAGGAGGUCCAGGGUUCAAUUCCC
rnacentral:tRNA from 1 species